AUUGAACGCUGGCGGCAUGCUUUACACAUGCAAGUCGAACGGCAGCACGGGUGCUUGCACCUGGUGGCGAGUGGCGAACGGGUGAGUAAUGCAUCGGAACGUACCCAGUCGUGGGGGAUAACGCACCGAAAGGUGUGCUAAUACCGCAUACGUCCUGAGGGAGAAAGCGGGGGACCGUAAGGCCUCGCGCGAUUGGAGCGGCCGAUGUCUGAUUAGCUAGUUGGUGGGGUAAAGGCCCACCAAGGCGACGAUCAGUAGCGGGUCUGAGAGGAUGAUCCGCCACACUGGGACUGAGACACGGCCCAGACUCCUACGGGAGGCAGCAGUGGGGAAUUUUGGGCAAUGGGCGCAAGCCUGAUCCAGCCAUGCCGCGUGAGUGAAGAAGGCCUUCGGGUUGUAAAGCUCUUUCAGCAGGAACGAAAAGGUAGCGGUUAAUAACCGCUGCCGAUGACGGUACCUGAAGAAGAAGCACCGGCUAACUACGUGCCAGCAGCCGCGGUAAUACGUAGGGUGCGAGCGUUAAUCGGAAUUACUGGGCGUAAAGCGUGCGCAGGCGGUUUCUUAAGCCAGAUGUGAAAGCCCCGGGCUUAACCUGGGAAUUGCGUUUGGAACUGGGAGACUAGAGUGUGGCAGAGGGAGGUAGAAUUCCACGUGUAGCAGUGAAAUGCGUAGAGAUGUGGAGGAAUACCGAUGGCGAAGGCAGCCUCCUGGGCCAACACUGACGCUCAUGCACGAAAGCGUGGGGAGCAAACAGGAUUAGAUACCCUGGUAGUCCACGCCCUAAACGAUGUCAACUGGUUGUUGGAGGAGUUAAAUCCUUUAGUAACGAAGCUAACGCGUGAAGUUGACCGCCUGGGAAGUACGGCCGCAAGGUUAA
rnacentral:rRNA from 1 species